CCUACGGGAGGCAGCAGUGGGGGAUAUUGCACAAUGGGGGGAACCCUGAUGCAGCGACGCCGCGUGGGUGAAGAAGCGCCUCGGCGCGUAAAGCCCUGUCAGCAGGGAAGAACAUGACGGUACCUGAAGAAGAAGCAACGGCUAACUACGUGCCAGCAGCCGCGGUAAUACGUAGGGGACAAGCGUUAUCCGGAUUUACUGGGUGUAGAGGUGGUGCAGACGGCGAUGCAAGCCAGGAGUGAAAGCACGGGGCCCAACCCCGGGACUGCUCUUGGAACUGCGUGGCUGGAGUGCAGGAGGGGCAGGCGGAAUUCCUGGUGUAGCGGUGAAAUGCGUAGAUAUCAGGAGGAACACCGGUGGCGAAGGCGGCCUGCUGGACUGCAACUGACGUUGAGGCCCGAAAGCGUGGGGAGCAAACAGGAUUAGAUACCCGGGUAGUC
rnacentral:rRNA from 1 species